AUACGGAGGAUCCGAGCGUUAUCCGGAUUUAUUGGGUUUAAAGGGUGCGCAGGCGGCCAUUUAAGUCAGCGGUUAAAUCGUGGGGCUCAACCCCAUUCUGCCGUUGAUACUGGGUGGCUUGAUUGCGGUCGAGGUUGGCGGAAUUCGUUGUGUAGCGGUGAAAUGCAUAGAUAUGACGAAGAACACCGAUUGCGUAGGCAGCUGACCAGAUCGCAAAUGACGCUCAUGCACGAAAGUGCGGGGAUCGAACAGGAUUAGAUACCCUGGUAGUCCGCACAGUAAGCGAUGAAUACUUGUUUUCGGCGAUAUAAUGUCGGAGGCAAAGCGAAAGCGAUAAGUAUUCCACCUGGGGAGUACGCCGGCAACGGUGAAACUCAAAUGAAUUGACGGGG
rnacentral:rRNA from 1 species